rnacentral:rRNA from 1 species
UACGAAGGGGGCUAGCGUUGUUCGGAAUCACUGGGCGUAAAGCGCUCGUAGGCGGAUCUUUAAGUCAGGGGUGAAAUCCCGAGGCUCAACCUCGGAACUGCCUUUGAUACUGGGGAUCGUCGAGUCCGGGAGAGGUGGAGUGGGAAACUGGCGAGUGUAGAGGUGAAAUUCGUAAGAUAUUCGCAAGAACACCAGUGGCGAAGGCGGACUCACUGGCCCGGUACUGGACGCUG